rnacentral:rRNA from 1 species
AGUGAACGCUGGCGGUUGGCCUAACACAUGCAAGUCGAACGGCAGCACAGAGGAGCUUGCUCCUUGGGUGGCGAGUGGCGGACGGGUGAGGAAUACAUCGGAAUCUACUCUGUCGUGGGGGAUAACGUAGGGAAACUUACGCUAAUACCGCAUACGACCUACGGGUGAAAGCAGGGGAUCUUCGGACCUUGCGCGAUUGAAUGAGCCGAUGUCGGAUUAGCUGGUUGGCGGGGUAAAGGCCCACCAAGGCGACGAUCCGUAGCUGGUUUGAGAGGAUGAUCAGCCACACUGGAACUGAGACACGGUCCAGACUCCUACGGGAGGCAGCAGUGGGGAAUAUUGGACAAUGGGCGCAAGCCUGAUCCAGCCAUACCGCGUGGGUGAAGAAGGCCUUCGGGUUGUAAAGCCCUUUUGUUGGGAAAGAACUCCAUCUGGUUAAUACCCGGGUGGGAUGACGGUACCCAAAGAAUAAGCACCGGCUAACUUCGUGCCAGCCGCCGCCGUAA